rnacentral:rRNA from 1 species
UAGGGAAUCUUCCACAAUGGGCGCAAGCCUGAUGGAGCAACACCGCGUGAGUGAAGAAGGGUUUCGGCUCGUAAAACUCUGUUGGUAGAGAAGAACGUUGGUGAGAGUGGAAAGCUCAUCAAGUGACGGUAACUACCCAGAAAGGGACGGCUAACUACGUGCCAA